UACGAAGGGUGCAAGCGUUACUCGGAAUUACUGGGCGUAAAGCGUGCGUAGGUGGUGAGUUAAGUCUGUCGUGAAAGCCCCGGGCUCAACCUGGGAAUGGCGAUGGAUACUGUCGGGCUAGAGUCCGGAAGAGGCGAGUGGAAUUCCUGGUGUAGCGGUGGAAUGCGCAGAUAUCAGGAGGAACACCAAUAGCGAAGGCAGCUCGCUGGGACGGUACUGACGCUAAGGCGCGAAAGCGUGGGGAGCGAACAGG
rnacentral:rRNA from 1 species